GAUGAACGCUAGCGGCAGGCUUAACACAUGCAAGUCGAGGGGUAGAAGUUGCUUGCAACUUUGAGACCGGCGCACGGGUGCGUAACGCGUAUGCAAUCUACCUUAUACAGAGGGAUAGCCCAGAGAAAUUUGGAUUAAUACCUCAUAGUAUAAUUGAGUGGCAUCAUUUAAUUAUUAAAGUUCCAACGGUAUAAGAUGAGCAUGCGUCCUAUUAGCUAGAUGGUAAGGUAACGGCUUACCAUGGCAACGAUAGGUAGGGGUCCUGAGAGGGAGAUCCCCCACACUGGUACUGAGACACGGACCAGACUCCUACGGGAGGCAGCAGUGAGGAAUAUUGGACAAUGGGCGCAAGCCUGAUCCAGCCAUGCCGCGUGCAGGAAGAAGCAUCUAUGGUGUGUAAACUGCUUUUGUACGGGAAGAAACACUCCUUCGUGAAGGAGCUUGACGGUACCGUAAGAAUAAGGAUCGGCUAACUCCGUGCCAGCAGCCGCCGUAAAAC
rnacentral:rRNA from 1 species